rnacentral:rRNA from 1 species
GAUUAACGCUGGCGGCGUGCAUAACACAUGCAAGUCGAACGAUGAAACUUAGUAGACUUCUUCGGAAAGACAUUAAGCGGAUUAGUGGCGAACGGGUGAGUAACGCGUGAGUAACCUGCCUUACACAAGGGGAUAGCCUUUGGAAACGAAGAAUAAUACCCUAUAAAACCAUAAAAGCACAUGCUAGAACGGUCAAAGUGAUAGCGGUGUAAGAUGGACUUGCGUCUGAUUAGCUAGUUGGUGAGGUAAAAGCUCACCAAGGCAACGAUCAGUAGCCGGCUUGAGAGAGUGUACGGCCACAUUGGGACUGAGACACGGCCCAGACUCCUACGGGAGGCAGCAGUGGGGAAUUUUGCACAAUGGGGGAAACCCUGAUGCAGCGACGCCGCGUGAUUUAGAAGGCCUUCGGGUUGUAAAAAUCUUUUGUAUAGGAAGAAAAUGACAGUACUAUACGAAUAAGGUCCGGCUAAUUACGUG